UAAUUAACAGAAUCAGCCACCAUGAAAAGCGUAAGCCUUCUUUAAAACUAAGGAACCUGAAAUUCGAGGAAACUGAAGCCAAUUUCUUUAAAGUUUCAUUUGGAGCUAUAGCUCGAAUCAAGCAGACUGAAGGAUGCCAUGAUCAUUUAUAUAUUACCAGAGAUGGAAAACAUCUGAGGUAGCUGCUCCUGGCAGAUCAGUAGCGAAGCACUUAUCCCUAAUAUAAGAUACCUAAGACCAAACAAACUAAUUGAACUUACUUUACAAAGAUUGAGACUCCAAGUCAACGAACCAUCAGCCCUAGGUUGGCCAAUACCCAUGAAAAUGGGAUUUCAUAAAUUAAGAGCCCAGAGAAGAAAAGAAAUACUGAAUAUACAUAUAAAAUAUUUUUCUACCUAAAUGUCCAUUUGCAAUAUCGUGUUGCAUUUAAUAUUAUCCCCGUUUCGGCAAAAAUGAUGGGGAACCCCAAAUUCUUUUCAUUUCAUAGAGAUGUACAUGAAGUGAGCCUUGCAUUUCUCAAUAAUGGCAUAAACUGCCUAAUCCAAAAGAUUAAAUAGCCUCCAGCACAUUUGAGGAGACCUCAUGUCCAUCCUGCUGCAAUUUGAUCAUGCCAUUCAACUGGCCUUGGUGAAAGUGCCAGUCAAUAAAGUACUGGACACAGUUCACAUCAGCACACGAAAAAUA
rnacentral:lncRNA from 1 species